CAGUCGCCGCAGUAAUACGGAGGGAGCUAGCGUUGUUCGGAAUUACUGGGCGUAAAGCGCGCGUAGGCGGUUACUCAAGUCAGAGGUGAAAGCCCGGGGCUCAACCCCGGAACUGCCUUUGAAACUAGGUGACUAGAAUCUUGGAGAGGUCAGUGGAAUUCCGAGUGUAGAGGUGAAAUUCGUAGAUAUUCGGAAGAACACCAGUGGCGAAGACGACUGACUGGACAAGUAUUGACGCUGAGGUGCGAAAGCGUGGGGAGCAAACAGGAUUAGAUACCCCUGUAGUUCCUGUCUCUUAUAC
rnacentral:rRNA from 1 species